UACAGAGGUCCCAAGCGUUGUUCGGAUUUACUGGGCGUAAAGGGUGCGUAGGUGGCGAGGUAAGUUCGAUGUGAAAUCUCCGAGCUCAACUCGGAAAUGGCAUUGAAUACUAUCCCGCUUGAGGGUCGGAGGGGAGACUGGAAUUCUCGGUGUAGCAGUGAAAUGCGUAGAUAUCGAGAGGAACACCUGCGGCGAAGGCGGGUUGCUGGGCUGACACUGACGCUGAGGCGCGAAAGCUAGGGGAGCGAACGGG
rnacentral:rRNA from 1 species